rnacentral:tRNA from 1 species
AAGACUUUAAGUUAAUUAAACUAAUAUCCUUCAAAGCUAUAAUUAAAGAAUUUUCUUUAAGUCUUA